rnacentral:rRNA from 1 species
CACGUAGGCACCAAGCGUUGUCCGGAUUUAUUGGGCGUAAAGAGCUCGUAGGCGGUUCAGUAAGUCAGGUGUGAAAUCUUUGGGCUUAACCCAAAGCGUGCACUUGAUACUGCUGUGACUUGAGUUCGGUAGGGGGAGACUGGAAUUCCUGGUGGUAGCGGUGAAAUGCGCAGGAUAUCAGGAGGAACACCGGUGGCGAAGGCGGGACUCUGGGCCGAAUACUGACGCUGAGGAGCGAAAGCGUGGGGAGCGAACAGG